GAUGAACGCUGGCGGCGUGCCUAAUACAUGCAAGUCGAGCGAACGGACGAGAAGCUUGCUUCUCUGAUGUUAGCGGCGGACGGGUGAGUAACACGUGGAUAACCUACCUAUAAGACUGGGAUAACUUCGGGAAACCGGAGCUAAUACCGGAUGAUAUUUUGAACCGCAUGGUUCAAAAGUGAAAGACGGUCUUGCUGUCACUUAUAGAUGGAUCCGCGCUGCAUUAGCUAGUUGGUAAGGUAACGGCUUACCAAGGCAACGAUGCAUAGCCGACCUGAGAGGGUGAUCGGCCACACUGGAACUGAGACCCGGUCCAGACUCCUACGGGAGGCAGCAGUAGGGAAUCUUCCGCAAUGGGCGAAAGCCUUACGGAGCAACGCCGCGUGAUUGAUGAAGGUCUUCGGGUCGGAAAACUCUGUUAUUAGGGAAGAACAUAUGUGUAAGUAACUGUGCGCAUCUUGACGGUACCUAAUCAGAAAGCCACGGCUAACUACGUG
rnacentral:rRNA from 1 species